UGUUCUUAUGCCUGGUUCUUAUUAAAAUUUUAUUUGUUUAGUUAGAUUUUUUGGUGGCACUGAAAUUUGAACUCAGCUUUACACUUACUAGGCAGACACUCUAGCAUCAAGCCACACCACCAGCUCCAUUUCCUUGUUAGUUUUGAGAUAGGGUUUUGCUUCCUGUCAGGACACAUGACUGAACUCCACCUAGUUAUACUACCCACAAAGCUAGGAUGCGAGGAGUAUGCUACAUUAUCCAGGUAUUGUUCAAGAAGGGGGGGGGGUCCCAUAAACUUUUUUGCUUGGGCUGGCCUUGAACUUCAAUCCUCUCUCUCUCAACCUUCCAAGAUGCUGUAAUUACAGGUGUGAGUCACAGUGCCUGGCUUUAUACCCAAUUCUGUAGAAGCAACUCAGUAGGUGUAAUAGGAUUCCAUGUGACCUUGUGGUUACUGUGACAUAGACCCUUCAGGGGACGCAAUAACAUAGAAAAGUGCCACAGCACCCCAGCCCAUCACCCACCUCUUCUUAUCUUUCCCACACCACAAAAGCUAAGUGCCAGCAACUUCAUCUGAGGCAACGUGCAACAAAUGUUCCUGCUUCUUGUCCCCUCUACUUCCUGUCGGUCAGCUCCCUCCCCUCUUGAAAGCUUGUUACUCAAGGUACCAGAUAGCUCUCAGCAGUCACAUCUUGGCAUUUUACAACCAUGGUUGUCUGAUCUUG